rnacentral:other from 1 species
GAUUUCGUCGAUUCGGUCGCAGCAUUCAAGGCGGUUGACACUUUCAGAAAGAAAAAGAAAAGGAUUGGAGGAAAGGAUGUAAAUAAUAAUAAGUUUAGAUAUAGACCGGAGAGAUACGCCGGUCAGGAUUCGUUAAAUUAUAAAGAAGAAAAUG